rnacentral:rRNA from 1 species
AUUGAACGCUGGCGGCAGGCCUAACCCAUGCAAGUCGCACGAGUGGCGGCCGGGUGAGUAAUGUCUGGGAAACUGCCUGAUGGAGGGGGAUAACUACUGGAAACGGUAGCUAAUACCGCAUACCAUCAGAUGUGCCCAGAUGGGAUUAGCUAGUUGGUGGGGUAAAGGCUCACCUAGGCGACGAUCCCUAGCUGGUCUGAGAGGAUGACCAGCCACACUGGAACUGAGACACGGUCCAGACUCCUACGGGAGGCAGCAGUGGGGAAUAUUGCACAAUGGGCGAAAGCCUGAUGCAGCCAUGCCGCGUGUAUGAAGAAGGCCUUCGGGUUGUAAAGUACUGUCAGCGGGGAGGCGUGACCCGCAGAAGAAGCACCGGCUAACUCCGUGCCAGCAGCCGCGGUAAUUC